rnacentral:rRNA from 1 species
UACGGAGGGGGCUAGCGUUGUUCGGAAUUACUGGGCGUAAAGCGCACGUAGGCGGCUUUGUAAGUUAGAGGUGAAAGCCCGGGGCUCAACCCCGGAAUUGCCUUUAAGACUGCAUCGCUUGAAUCCAGGAGAGGUGAGUGGAAUUCCGAGUGUAGAGGUGAAAUUCGUAGAUAUUCGGAAGAACACCAGUGGCGAAGGCGGCUAACUGGUCCAGAUCUGACGCUGAGGUGCGAAAGCGUGGGGAGCAAACAGG